CGAUAAUCUCUUUUUGCCAACCUUUACUUUAUCUCCUUUGUUGUCAUUUAUAAGUCUCUUAUCCCCUCACUCUCUCUCUCUCUCUCUCUUUCUUUCUUUCUUUCUUUCUGUGUCUCUCCCUUCUCUCUCUACACUCCCCCCUCUCUCUCUCUCUCUCUCUCUGACAUCUAUUGCACACUAGUAUCUCGUAUUUACUGGCUUGUCUAACAACCAUGGACAUAAACAAAAUGAAAAAUAAACUAGCUGAGAAGAAGUACUACUAUAUCUCACCAACAACCAAGAGAAAAAUAAUUGAGGUGGCCUUCUACUUGGGCUUAAUGGCUUUCCUUAGUGUUUUCAUGGUGGUGUAUUAUGUGUUUCUGUAUACCCCAAAGAAAAGGAAUAUAUAUCAUAUGUAACCAUCUAUUCACUGAAAGUGUCAUUAAUCCACAAUUCUUGCACUAGUUUGGUUAGUAAUGUACUUUAGGUUAUUUAACAUGCAUCAGUUUUGGUGUACAUGAACAAACCAUAACAUGAUACAUACUUUGUCAAAGAUUUUAAAAGACAUUUGCUGAGAAGACAAGUACAAAAAGAAUUCUGAUGAAAAAAAAAUUCAAGAAGCUUUCUAUUGAAAAGAAAUGGCAUUCAUAUGUUACCAAUGCAUGCUGACGUUAUACUGUCCAACUAAACAGAAUUCAAGAUUUUGUCAAAAACUUUGCGGAAACAAACCACGACAGCAUGCUCGCACUACAGGAUUCUAACAUCAGGACUGGAAAAAUUGUAGAAAUAUUAACAGUUGUAGGAAAUCUCAGCAUUAUACUACACAGAUCAUUUCGGUGUUGUGAAAUAACUACAAAUCCAAUAGUAACUAGGACAUGGUGAGCUCCAGUGAGUCGAAUUCAUAAUAUGGUUUUGCAUCCUUGUUUCGCUAUUUCACUUCACUAAUAUUGCUGAAACUCUUAUUAAAGGCAUCAAUGCCAUACAAUUCCUUAUUCUUUACCAAUGAGUUUGUGGCCAUUUCUUUAAAUAAAAAUGUUCAUAGAUUCCACCAAGAUAUAGCUAGACAAUAUACUGCCAUUAACCUCUCAGAACAUCACAUAGACUUUAUUUCAAAGAAUAGUUAAAAUCUCAAAGAAUAGUUAAAUUUCCUUAACAACUGACAAAAAAUUGGUAAAAAAACAUCACGUUGUUCUUGUUAUGUUUUCUUUGAGCGCUCCCAAAACUAAAUCCAAAGUACAAUAAUGAAUUUUUUCCUUCGUAACAAUAUUUUAAAAAUCAUGACUCGCACCACUCAAGUUUAAUAAAAAUGGUUACAUCACUUAUAAUAA